rnacentral:misc_RNA from 1 species
UUUGGAAUUUGGAUGUUGACAUAUUGACCCAUCUAUAUGGGCCAAGAACAAACACUUUUUGAGAUCACUGUAAGGUUUUAAAGGAACACAUUUCCUACUUAUAUGGAAACUUACCGAUGAUGAGCUCCAGAUCCUCGCCUCCUCGCGAACGCCUGGCUUCGUCUGGAAGCGUCCUAAGCGAUGACAGCGAGAUGAUGGAGGGUCUGGACGAUGUUGACUUUGAGGUGAGCGACCCUCGGCUUCGAAAGGCUGUGGACAAGGCUGGGAAAGAAAAGAAUAUCAUGCCACUGAUUAAAGAAGAACUGCGGCUCUCCAUUCUCACCCGGAGAAACAAAGAAGGAAAGGGAGACAUUGUCAUCGAGGAAAAGAAGCAUCAAGUUAAAAGGAUUCUUACGCCUCAAGAGAAAGAGAGGAAACUUCGCCGCCAGGAACAAAACCGACGGGCGGCCAAAAAAUGCAGAAAGAAAAAGAAAGACUGUGAAGUUACCAUUAUGAAGGCAUAUAACUCGGAAAAGGACAAGAAUCACAAUUUGUCCGUUGAAGUCGAGGAAUUAAAAAGGGAGAAAGAAAAACUAGAAGAGUUUUGGAGAGACCAUAUAUCAAAAUGUUCAUUGAUCCAAAAUCAAAGCACAUUCGUGCCCAUCCCCGAUAUCGCACAUUUACCCAUGCCAUGCAAUGCACCCAUCUCGCCCUUCGAUACCGGCAUGUCAUCAGCCACAGAGCCAGAUACCCCUAAUCCAACGACUCCACAUACACCCGGUCAAAUCUUCAGUUUCUCACCUCUUCCGUUCAGCAGUUAUACAGAUAACGAAGAAAUCUACACCGGAGAAAAGGACGAGUGUCCAACUCACACCGACUUCUCUGGUUUUACUCAACCGAAUCUGGACGACUGCUUUGGUAGUGAACUGGAGAACAUCGAUAUAACGCCUUUUGCCAGUUUCAACAAUUCUCCAGAUUACGUCUCAGUAUCUGGGCACUGGUCAACUUAACUUUGAGGCCUGCAUUGCCAAGCAAUCCUCAAGAAAGCAAUAACCUCACUUCCGACGGAAGUGCAACGACAUUGAGUGGACUGGAAGCAUUUAUAGACUUUCUCCAUGGUCAAACUGGCGUUGACGCCAAUGAGGACAUCACGACAGAAACUGAAUGUACCAUCGCGUCAUCACAGGCAUGUGAAAUCACUUCCUGCACAGAAUUUCACGACACUAUAUGACAUUUAUUUUAGAUCGACAUCAGUCUGCGUCAAACGAAGGUUGAGCACUCAUCAUUCAUAGCGAUAUGUGUUCAAAGAACAGUAUGAAGAAGAAAAUACUUUUUGUGCCAGUAUGUUGUCUCAAGUCAAAUUAAAAACCUACGUUUUAUAUACUUUAUAUAAAAGAAAUACAACAGUUGAAAAACGUAUACAGGAAUCCUGUAACUAGAUAAUAGACAUAAACUGUUGAACCUCUAUUUUUUUUUUCUCAUCAUGUUUUACUUUUUUUUCUUCGUGGUGAUAACUUAGUGCUAGAUUUAGACUUACUAACAAGUUUUGUAAAGGUAUGUUUGUAUCACGUGACAUGCUCUCUGGUCAGAAGUUUUCACAGAAGAUCUCCAAUAAAUGUACAUAGUUGUUUUUUAUCCUUUUUGGAUUUUUUGAAAUUUUUAUCACUCUAUAUGAUUUGCAUACAUGACAAUGUAUCAAUUUUGUACAUAAUUUUUGUUGAUUUGUAUGUAAACAUGUGCCAAUGGACCAACAGUCGGGUAGGUUGGUGCAUAGUACAAGUGUGAAAUAUAAUUUCAUGAAUAUUCAUUAUUUUGUCAUAUGCUCAUUAUCAUAUAUGACAUUAAAUGUUUAAAUGC